rnacentral:rRNA from 1 species
ACUACGGGCGGCAGCAGUGGGGAAUAUUGGGCAAUGGGCGCAAGCCUGACCCAGCAACGCCGCGUGAAGGAAGAAGGCUUUCGGGUUGUAAACUUCUUUUCUGAGGGACGAAGAAAGUGACGGUACCUCAGGAAUAAGCCACGGCUAACUACGUGCCAGCAGCCGCGGUAAUACGUAGGUGGCAAGCGUUAUCCGGAUUUAUUGGGUGUAAAGGGCGUGUAGGCGGGAAAGCAAGUCAGAUGUGAAAACUCAGGGCUGAACCCUGAGCCUGAAUUUGAAACUGUUUUUCUUGAGUGCUGGAGAGGCAAGCGGAAUUCCGUGUGUAGCGGUGAAAUGCGUAGAUAUACGGAGGAACACCAGUGGCGAAGGCGGAUUGCUGGACAGUAGCUGACGCUGAGGCGCGAAAGCGUGGGGAGCAAACAGGAUUAGAUACCCGAGUAGUC